UACCAGCAUUUGGAAGAGAGAAGUUUGGGUUCAUGGACCUCUGGAGGUCAGUGCAGGGGAAGAUGUAAGACAGUACAUCCAGGGCCUAGCUGAGGAGGCCCAGAUCCGUCAUCUGUGGAAGGAGGAGAAAACCCAGGAAGGAAGACAGGAGAAAGCAAUCCUAGUGGGAGCCCUACGUGCCAGCAAUCAGCACACUUGGGAGCCCUUGAAAAGAGAAAUAUAGACACUGGAAAUCUGAUCAAAAGGUAUGUAUCUUAAGCAGCACCAAAAUUAUGUAUUCUCAGAUUUUAUAUUCUAGAGAUUUUCAAAGUCAAAACAGUAUUGCUUAAAGGUGGCUAAUCUUUCUUUGAAAGGAGGGUCUGUUUGUUUUUUGCCUUUUGCACUAGCACUUAGAACAAUGCCUGACACAUAAUAUGCAUUCAAUAAAUGCUAGCUGAUUGAACA
rnacentral:lncRNA from 1 species